UGAAAAAGCCUCGCCUCACUGACAGUGGAGUCUACACCUGCACCAUAUGCUACAAUGGUGAUUACAUCCUGCUACAAAAAUCAGUGAUACUCCAUGUUGAAGCUCGCAGGUAGACAACGGCACCAAGCACAGAGGAAGUGAGGAAUGAGAACCACGAAGGUGCUCCUCUAACGUAUAUUUCAUAAUUCAAGCUUCAUGGAUCUGUUGGUCAAAGUAGAGGAGGAGGAGCUGACGAUGAACAGGAGCCUCUGUCAGCUUGUUCUAUUAUAUCCUGUAUAAAGUGUUUGGUGUAUUCAGCUUGUUGAAGCUCCUCAGUGAGGCUCUGCCAUAUUUACUCUGAACCCAUGUCCUCACUGAGAAGCAUGAAGAUGCAGCUUUGCUUUGGCUUUCCUCUGCUCAUGGCUAACAGCUAACUAACCUCAGCCAGAUGUUCUCCAGCUGUUUUUCUCACAUUAGAACCUCAGAACAAUCAGAAUAUAGAGUGUGUUGCUCCUCACUGUCGCUGUGGUCUUUCCCGGUGUUCCUGAUGGAUCUCCAUGGAGCAUCUGGACUCUGUCACGUUAGUGUGGAGUCAGAGCUUCUGUGGAUGAAUGCUUCCAUCAAACAGGAAUAUUCUGGA